AAGAGGGUAGAGAGGUUAGGGAGGAAGCGAUUAUAAUACUUCAGUAAGCCUAGAUAGGCUUUCAAUUCUGUAAAGUUUGUCGGAGCUGAAGCUUCCACAACAGCCCUCACUUUAGCUUUGACAGUGUGUAACCCCUUGGCAUCCACCUUGUGACCCAGGUACUGCACUUCAUCAGCUAACAGUGUACACUUGUUCCUCUUCAGCCGGAGACCGGCCUCCUCUAUCCUCCUCAAAACUUCACCCAAGUUUCUGAGAUGUCCGUCCUUCGUGACUCCCGUGACAAGAAUGUUGUUGAGGUAAACCGCUACUUGGGUAUCCCCUGCAGAACUCCAUCCAUGGUUCUUUGGAAGAUAGCUGGUGCAGAAGACACCCCGAAGGAUGUUGCUGCGCACAGCACCGGCAACGUUGUCCCUUGGCCUUCUGGGACCAGUGCUGUGGAAAAGGAUGCUAGCAGAGACCGCUCAGGGCUGUGGCCCAUCUUCCCAGUAUCCCCUGUGUAUUUAAAUCUGUGUUCUCUGUUUGUCUGUUGCCAGUUCGUCUUGUAUUGUCAGGUCUUACAUGCGUUCUUUCCCACCAUCCUGUUUCUCUAGUUCUGAUUCCUAGUUUUACCUGGUUCUGACCAUUCUGCCUGCCCUGACCCUGAGCCUGCCUGCCGUCCUGUACCUGCCUGAUUCUGACCUGAUUACGAACCUCUGCCAGCCCUGACCGCGAGCCUGCCUGCCGUCCUGUACCUGCCUGACUCUGACCUGAUUACAAACCUCUGCCUGCCCUCGACCUGCCCUUUGCCUGCCCUGUGUCUCUAAUAAAUAAUAGGAGAACUGUACUAUCCGUCUCCAGUGUCUGCAUCUGUGUCAUAUCCUGAGUCAUGAUCCUGAGACUGUUUUGUUGUACUGUACAUUGUCCCUGUUAAAAUAUACGUAAUAAUAACAAUACGUAAUAAUUUAAAGACUUUGAAGGAUUUUCUCCAUUGAUGGAAAAUGCUGCAGUUUGUGGAAUACCUAGAUACUGGCCAUCUCAUUCAAGGAUUUCUAUGUUAAAUUUGUACAUUUGAAGCAUUUCAUUUCAAAAUGCUAUAUAUCCAUUUUCAGAAUUGUUGGUAAAUUAGCUUUUAUUGUUUAAAGAAAUUAUGAAAGAUAUUGGUUAUUUUUUUCACUAUCCAAUCAUGGCAUUGUUCAAUGACAAAUCUAUCACUUGAUGGGUUAAAUUUCAAAGAGACAAAUAAUCAUGUUUUUUGUGCAAAAUGCUAUACAUCCACCUCACACUCAGUGAAAUAAGUAGUACUGCUAGGUUUUACACAAUCCAAUGUAACAAAUUACUACAUUUUUAAUAAAGAACUG